GUCUUUGUGAAAUGCUUUCCAUUUAUUCUCCGAGUUUGAUACUUAUCGGCAAUUAUUGGAAGAUUGAUUUACUCAUUGUUCCUCUUCCCUGGCCAUGGAUGUAUAUGUGGAUGUUCAGGAUUCUUGCGCUACGCUGCUGAGCAGCCUCAAGAUCACACUUGAAUGAAUUUAUAUGCAACUGAGUUUUUUCGUGAUUUCCGUCCAUCAGCCUUAUGCCAAAAGUAGCCGACUCCCUGACUUGGUGUGGGGCGUUUUUUCCCCAGUGUCUCCAUAAAUAAUUUGGAAUAGAUUGUUUAGUAUGUGGAGUCAUCUCUGGCUAUGCUAGUGUAUAUGGAGGGUGGCGGAGGGAGUAUAUUAUGGUAUAUUUUUGGAUUUAUUUUCUACAUAGGCAUUCCCGGUGCUUAUCGUUAUACUCUUCAAUUUCCAGUGUCUUACCAGUGGCUGUUUCUUAAUCAACCUUCAGCGGAAGCCACUCCUUGUUUGGUGCUUGGUUAUUUUUACUCCGUUUCAUCAGUUCCUUUUUGUGCUGAGCCUCAACAUGUGGCGAGAUGCAAAAUAAAUUGUGGUUCUGUUGAUGGUGGAGCUUAAGGUGGGCUAUCUUGGUCUGGCUGUUGGACAUGGACCAAUAUUUGGUGCUGGUGUUGAUCGAGUUUAUGAAGGGUGGCAGAGUAACAAUAGUAUUUUCGACUGUCGUUUAUCUUCUUGCUGGACAUCUCCGUUGGUUAUUGUUAUGCUCUUUAAUUUCCUGAUUUCAGAAAGCAGUUCUGGGCUUUGACAGUUCGACAGAGGGAGUAUAGUAUAGUAUUGUUUUCACUACCUGUUACCUUCCACCUAGACUUUUCCAGCCUUAUUGUUAUCCUCUUUGAUAUCCAGUCUCUGACUUUUGGGUGGGUUCUUCAUCAGGCUUCACUGGAAGACAGCUAUUGUUUGAUGCUUGGUUAACUGUUCUUUUGUAAACUGUUUUUGUUUAAUGUUUAGUCAAUUUUUCUGGUUUGAUGCUUGGUUAACUUUUUUAUGUUAAAUGGUUGUUUAUUUACCUACGUGUGAAUGUUGUUUUCAGCCUUUGUUGCGGGUCGUUGACGUGGACCAAACUCUGAUACUUGCAUUUAUGGUGUUUAUGAAUGCUGGCCUUUCUCCUGCCAUUUAUCUUCUAGCUGUGCUUUCCCUUAUCUUGCUAUAUGCUCUUUCCUCCUGAUCUUUGGAUUGCUCUACCUGUUUUCAGGAGAAGGACGUUCUUUGUUUUUACGAGGGAGUAUAGUUAGUUUUCUUUUCUAAUAACUUUUAUCUUCUACCUAGACCUCCCCCUGCCUGAACUUACCUGUGUUUAUCGUUAUACCCUUCAGUGUCCAGUAUCUGAGGGUUGGGUAGCUCUUAAUCAACCUUCACCCAAAGGCAGUUUUCAUGGGAAGGCAGUUCUUGAUGAUGCUCUGUUUUGUUGUGGAUAUUUCUUCCUCCUUUGAUUGAAGAUGCAAAAUAAGUUUUGAUUCUGUUAGACUUGGAGCUUAAGGUUAGGCUAUUGGGCCUGGUUGUUGGACAAGUGCAAAAACUGUUGAUGCCAUGAUGGCGUUGUAGUGUUUUUGAGGCUUUGCAGAGGGAGUAUCGUAUUUUUUAUCGUCAUUUAUCUUCUAGCUGGACUUUCCCAUUGCUUACUGGUAUGCUCCUCAAUUUCCAGAUGUCUGCUCUUUGGGCUGUUCGGUCAGUUUUCAAGAGAUGCCAUUCUGUGUUUUUAUAAUGUAGGGAGUAUGCUACAGUGUUUUUGUUUACUGUGUUUUAUCUUCUACGUAGACCUUUCCAAUGCUUACCGCCUGUACUCUUCAAUUUCCAGUUUCUGGUCAUUGGCAAGUUCUUAAUCAACCUUCACAAAGAGAGUUCUGGUUUGAUACUGGAUUAUCUUUUCUGUGUUUCAUCAUUUUGUGUGUUACACAGAUUAUAUUUUAUCUUCUGCGUAGACAUUCCCGGUGCUUACCGUUAUAAUCUUCAACUUCCAGUGUGCUAUCAUUGGCUGGUUCUCAAUCUACCUUCCGUGGUAGCCAGUUCUGGUUUGGUGCAUGGUUACUUUUACUCCGUUUCAUCCGUUACAUUUUGUUACAUGGAUAUAAGGUUUGGCCUCAACAUGUGACAGGAGAUACAUAAUAAAUUUAGUACUGUCGAAGGUGGAGCCUAAGGAGGGCUAUCUUGGUCUGGCUGUUGGACAUGGACCAAUAUUUGAUGCUGGCGUUGACCGAGCUUAUGAAGGGUGGCAGAAGGAUUAUAUCGUAUUUUAUACUUUCGUUUAUCUUCUCGCUGGACAUUUCCUUUGUUUAUUGUUAUGCUCUUCAGUUUUGAUGUUAGAUAUUUGGGUAUUUCAGUUUCCAAGAGAAGGCAGUUUUGGGAUUUUACUUUGUGACGGAGUGUAGUAUAGUGUUAUUUCACUACCUCUUAUCUUCUACCUAGACCUUCCCGCCCUUAUUGUUGUUCUCUUGAUAUACAGUGUCCGACCAUCGAGUGGCUCCUUCAUCCGGCUUUCACUGGAAGGCAGUCUAGUUUGAAAUUUGAUGCUUGGUUAAUUUUCCCUUUAAUCUGUUCUAGUUUGAACUUUGAUGCUUGGUUAACUGUUCACUUUAAUCUGUUUGUUUAUUUAUCUAUGUGUAUAUCGAUUUCAGCCUUCGUCGCGGGUCGUUGAUGUGGACCAAUCUCUGAUGCUGCAUUUAUGGUGUUUAUGAGGGGUGACAUUUAUCCUGUCAUUUAUCUUAUAGCUGAGCUUUCGCUUUACUUACUAUUAUGCUCUUCAAUUUCCAGAUAUCUGAUCUUUGGGUUGUUCUAUCAGUUUCUAGGGGAAGGCCAUUCUUUGUUUAUACUGUUUGGCAGAGGGGGUAUAGUAUUAUUUUCUACUAUUUUUUUUUCUAUAUGGACUUUCCUCACGUUCAUGUUUACUCUUCAAUUUCCACUAUCUGAGUGUUGGUGGUUCUUAAUCAACCUUCAACAGUUAAGUUGGAAGGCAAUUCUGGAUUGGUAAUUGAGUAUCUUUACUCUAUUUUAUAAGUUUUUUGUUUGCUACGUAGAUGUGUAUAGUAUUGUUUUUGUCUUCAGUGACAUUUGACCGGGAAAAUAAUUGCUUCUGUCAAAGUAGGAGCUUAAGUGUGACCGUCAUUGUAUGGUUGUUGGACACUGGACACUGUUACAUCUCUGAUGCUGGCAAGGAUAGUGCUUAUGGAGGGUAGCAGAGAGAGUACAGUAUUUUUCUGCUGUCUUUUAUCUUGUAGCUGGUCUUUUCCUUUACUUGUGAAUCUAUCAGAGUAGGAGUUGAUUGAAGGGCUAUCUUCGUCUGGUUGUUUGACAUGGGCCAAUAUUCAAUGUUGGUAUUUGAAGUGUUCUCGGAGGGUGGUAGAGGGAGUAUAGUAACUUUUGUAUUUCAUUCAUCUUGAGCUGGAUUUUCCCGUGACUUAUUGCUAUGCUGUUCAUAUCUCCAGAUGCCUUAUUCUUACUUCAUUCAAUAUGUUCUCAAGGAAAGGCUGAUUGGUGUCCUACAAUGUGAUAGAGGGAGUGCAUUAUAAUAUUUUUCUUUGUUCAUUGUUUUACAUUCGUUUCUAAUUUUCUACUGUCAUUUAUCUUCUAACUGGACUUAUUUUGCUUGUUAUUAUGCUCUUUAAUUCCAGAGGUCUCUGCAUGGUUCUACAGGAAAUUCGGUUCUGGGUUUGAUAGAGAGUACAGUAUGGUAUCUUUAAGAUGUGAUCUUUUAUGUAGACAUUCCUGUGCUUAUCAUUAUACUCUUUAAUUUCCAGUGUCAUAUUGUUGGCUGGUUCUUCAACCUUCAGUAGAAGCCAUUUCUGGUUUGAUGCUUGGUUAUUUGUACUCUAUUUCAUCAAUUUCUUUUUUUUGUUAAAUUGGAUAUUGUGGUUGGCCUCAACCUGUGACAGAUUUUACAAAUAAAUUUUGGUUCUGUUAAAGGUGGAGCUUAAGAUGGGCUAUCUUGGUUUGGCUGUUGCCUAUUGGACACGAAUCAAUAUUCAAUGCUGGAGUUGUCAGUAUUUAUGGGGGCAGGGAGAGGGAGUAUAGUAUUUUUCUAAGUUGUUAUCUUCUUGCUGGACAUUCCCUUUGCUUAUUGUUGUUCACUUCAAUUUCCAGAUGUCAAAUAUUUCGAGAAAGUAGUUCUGGGCUUUUACAAUGGCAAAGGGAGUAUGGUUUGUUAUCGUUUAGAUUUUAUCUUCUUGGUAGACAUUCCCAGUUCUCAUUGUCAUACUUCUCAAUUUCUCGUGGCUGAGCAAUGGCUGGUUCUGAAUCGACCUUCAGUGGAAGCCAAUUCCAGAUUGAUGCUAGGUUAUCUCUGAUCUGUUUCAUCAGUUCCUUCUUGUUACAUGGAUAUUGUGUUUGACCUCACCCUACAAGAGAAGAUAUGAUCACAUAUAAAAUAAAUUUGAUUCUGCUAAAUGCGGAGAUUGAGAUGGGCUUAUCUUUCUCUUGUUGGACAUGAUUAGGAACCAAUAAUUGAUACUGGCCUUGACUGAUUUCACUUGGAGCUUGAGGUGAGCUAUUUCACUUAUUUAUCUCAACUGUUCACCUUCCUUGUUGUACGUGAUCAUUUUUCUUCGGCUUAUGUAUUCAAAGCUGAAAGAAACCCAUGAUUUCACCGUCUAAUGUCGUCCAACUAAGUGUUCAAUUUUCCUUUUAUAGCUAAUGAACAAAUUGUAUGAUUCGCCAUGUGAACAAAUUUUUUUUGAGCUUCAGUUUCCCCUUUUGUAUCUUAUUAACCAAAGAGAUACAAUUUUGCACUAGUAUUUCUGCAACUAUUUCAUAUAAGAAAAUAUAGUCUUGCAUGAAGGAGGUAGAUAGGGGGCUGGGUUGGUCUAUGAUUCUUGGUUAUAGAAGAAAUGAACAAUUAGUUGGCUCUCUACUUGAAUAUAUAUGAACUUUUUAGUACAGUGAAUCCAUAUGUGUGUUUUUACGUAUACUUGUGGAUAGGUAGAGUCAUGUAACUCUGCCUGUGUGCUGGGGUUCCCUGCCACAGCCGGUCCCAAGCCCGGGAAAAGAGGAGGGGCGACCAAAUAAUGUAGUAAGGUUGCCUUUAUGAGUUAUUUUACUGAUUAUGAUUUUCUCUUCCAGACAUUCACUAAAUUCUAGUAAUUCUUUAUGUUGUAUUUUAUUAUUGCAUUACUGAAGCUAUUUUGUUUUUCCUUAUGGUAUUUCUGCCUGCUUGAUCCAUACAUGUGGUUAUGUUUAGUAGUUACCAUUACAUUUUUCAUGUAUCACCUCCGUUUCAAAUUAUUUGAGUUGUAUUCCAUUUUAAGUCGUUCCAAGUUACUCGAGUCUUUUAUUUAGCUAAGUUUUGUAGUCAGUAUCUUCUACCUUGAUUUUCCCCAUGCUUAUCGUUAUUCUCUGCAAUUUUCAGUGUGUACUUGGGCGGUUCUUAAAUGGUUUGAUACUUGGUUACUUUCCUCCGUGUCUAUAAUUUUUCUGUUAUGUGGAUUUUUUUUCUUCUACGCCCUUUGAUAGGAGAGACGAAAUAAGUUUUGAUUCUGUUACACAGAGCUUUAGGUGGGGCUAUUUUGGUUUGGUUGUUGGACAUUGUAGUAUUUAUGGGGGCUGAAAAAGGGAGUAAUGUAUUUUGUAUCGUCAUUUAUUUAUUGCUGGACUUCCCCUUGCUUACUAUUAUGCUCUUCAUUUUCAAGAUGUCUGCUCUUUGGCUCGUUCGAUCAAUUUUAAAGGGAACACCACCAUUCUGUAUUUUUACAAUGUGGAGGGAGUAUAGUGCAGUGUUUUUUCCUACUGCAUUAUAUCUUCUACACUUUCCCCAUGCUUACUGGUAUACUCUUCAAUUUACAGCGUCUUUCCCCAUGCUUAUUAUAUACUCUUCAAUGUAUAGUCUCUCGGCCCUUACCAAGAUGAAGAUGAGGGGAGUUGUCACCACUGUAUUCAACACUAGCAUUGAGGUUUGAGAGAUCGUUUGAGAUGUGAUUAGUAGCUCUCGAUCAGGAUAUCAAGAGCCAGUAAGACCUUUGUAGCUGCAUUCAAAGGGAUAUGUACUGGUGAUUAGGAGAGAUACCUCUUUGCUGCAGCAGGUUAGCAGAAGGUGUGUUGUAGAAAGACGGUUGUUGUGGCUGCGAGGACUGUCCCCGUCUGUGUGGACUCGACUGCGGUUCAUACUAUUAGAAUUGGAAAAUAAAAUAGUAAUUAGGAUUUAGAUUAGCUUUUAUUCUCAGCCUAUAUAUAAGGCAAUGUAUUGUAUUUUUUAAUCAAUACUUUUCACAAUAAAGAUAUUUUCCUUCUUUUUUCCCCUCUUUUAA